AUGCUUUAGUUUCCGGUCCCGCUAUCUACACUAACUGACAUAUACACACACAUUACGAAAACCUAUGAGUAGAAAGUGAUUCCCGCCAGCCACGAUAAUGGGCUGUCAUGAAUCUUCCGGAGCGCAAAGCGGGUGCAGGGAAGUUAUUUAAUGACAAACUCUGCUUUUAUGACCGUUGAGUGCUCCUUUAUGGGAGCUUCGAGGAAGGAGUGUAUUCUGAGGGGU